rnacentral:rRNA from 1 species
AUUGAACGCUGGCGGCAGGCCUAACACAUGCAAGUCGAACGAGUGGCGGACGUGUGAGUAAUGUCUGGGACACUGCCUGGUGGAGGGGGAUCACUUGUGGAAACGGUAGCUAAUCCCGCAUACUAUCAUAUGUCCCCAGAUGGGAUUCGCUAGGUGGUGGGGUAACGGCUCACCAAGGCGACGAUCCCUAGCUGGUCUGAGAGGAUGACCAGCAACACUGGAACUGAGACACGGUCCAGACUCCAACGGGAGGCAGCAGUGGGGAAUAUUGCACAAUGGGCGAAAGCCGGAUGCAGCCAUGCCGCGUGUAUGAAGAAGGCCUUCGGGUUGUAAAGUACUUUCAGCGGGGAGGCGUUACCCGCAGAAGAAGCACCGGCUAACUCCGUGCCAGCCGCCGCGGUAAUUC